rnacentral:rRNA from 1 species
AGAGUUUGAUCCUGGCUCGCGCGAACGUUGGCGGCGCGCCUAACACAUGCAAGUCGUGGGGCAGCAGGCUACUACCUUCGGGUAGUAGUGCUGGCGACCGGCAAACGGGUGAGUAACACGUAGCUUACCUACCCCAGGGUUGGGGAUAACCUCCCGAAAGGGUGGCUAAUACCCAAUAAUGAGGAAACUCCGAAGCCGCAAGGCGCCCUGGGAUGGGGCUGCGUCCCAUCAGGUAGUUGGUGAGGUAACGGCUCACCAAGCCUACGACGGGUAACCGGUCUGAGAGGAUGACCGGUCACAGUGGGACUGAGACACGGCCCGCACCCCUACGGGGGGCAGCAGUGGGGAAUAUUGGGCAAUGGCCGAAAGGCUGACCCAGCGACGCCGCGUGGCGGAUGAAGCCCUUCGGGGUGUAAACGCCUUUUCUUGGGGAAGACAAUGACGGUACCCAAGGAAAAAGGGACGGCUAACUACGUGCCAGCAGCCGCGGUAAUACGUAGGUCCCGAACGUUGCGCGAAAUUACUGGGCGUAAAGGGUCCGUAGGCGGUCUAUCAAGUGGAAGGUGAAAUCCCAUGGCUCAACCAUGGAACUGCCUUCCAAACUG